GAUGAAGAACGCAGCGAAAUGCGAUAAGUAGUGUGAAUUGCAGAAUUCAGUGAAUCAUCGAAUCUUUGAACGCACAUUGCGCCCUUUGGUAUUCCUUAGGGCAUGCCUGUUCGAGCGUCAUUUAAACCUGCAAGCUCAGCUUGGUGUUGGGUGACUGUCCGCUUCACCGCGGACUCGCCUCAAAAUUAUUGGCGGCCGGUACAUUGGCUUCGAGCGCAGCAGAAACGCGAACUCGGGCCCGUCGUAUUGGCUCCCAGAAGCUAUCUUCACAAUUUUGACCUCGGAUCAGGUAGGGAUACCCGCUGAACUUAAGCAUAUCAAUAAGCGGAGGA
rnacentral:misc_RNA from 1 species